GCUGAUGUAGCUCAGUGGGUAGAGCACAUCCUUGGUAAGGAUGAGGUCGGCCGUUCAAUCCGGCUCAUCAGCUCCA
rnacentral:tRNA from 1 species